AAGGAAUUAAGAAAAUAAAGAUUAGCUUCUAACUAAAUCUAUUAGCGGUUAAAUUCCGUUUAUUCCUUU
rnacentral:tRNA from 1 species